rnacentral:rRNA from 2 species
CUCCUCACGUGCGCGUGCUAUAAUGCAGUCGAGCGAACUGAUUAGAAGCUUGCUUCUAUGACGUUAGCGGCGGACGGGUGAGUAACACGUGGGCAACCUGCCUGUAAGACUGGGAUAACUUCGGGAAACCGAAGCUAAUACCGGAUAGGAUCUUCUCCUUCAUGGGAGAUGAUUGAAAGAUGGUUUCGGCUAUCACUUACAGAUGGGCCCGCGGUGCAUUAGCUAGUUGGUGAGGUAACGGCUCACCAAGGCAACGAUGCAUAGCCGACCUGAGAGGGUGAUCGGCCACACUGGGACUGAGACACGGCCCAGACUCCUACGGGAGGCAGCAGUAGGGAAUCUUCCGCAAUGGACGAAAGUCUGACGGAGCAACGCCGCGUGAGUGAUGAAGGCUUUCGGGUCGUAAAACUCUGUUGUUAGGGAAGAACAAGUACAAG